CCCCAUCAUACACACACACACAGCAGCUGAGUGUUCAUCUCCUGUUCCUUCCUUCUGGCUUGUCACAGACUAAAAUAGCGAUGUGGCGGUUUCCAUCAUUCCUCCUACAACUUCACUGCCUUGGCCAGUUAAAAUGCCUCAUGCACAAGAAACUAUUCUCAGGAUGGUGGAUGAAGAAACCAACAGCUCCAGGACAACUACAACAAGUUCUGGUCUUCGAAUCCUCCUGAAAACAAGUAUUUUAAGAGCAAACAAUCACCUGGAACAAGUAUCACCUGAUUGCGACAGAAUGUUCCUAUUAACUAUGUCGUCUACAGGCUAAUUGUUCAAGUUGUUCAAGCCUCCCAACUCUUACUAAUUUUCUAUCAUGUUUUGUUUCACAGGUAAUUGUCCAUGUUUAUUCAUUUCCCUAUCUACCUCAUUUGCACUUGCAAAGAAUAAACAGGAGGCAACAUCUGAAUGGUCACAUAAAACCGAGAGAGAACCAAUUACUUUUACACAGGAUCUAAUUCAUAGAGGAAAAAAAGGGAGGGUUGGGAUUUUGGUGUUUGGUUUGGUGUUGGGGUUUUUUUUCCCUCCAUAUUAUACUUUCAAAAUCAGCUGCAAGAAACUGCACACACACGUUGUACCUAAGCAAAUCUAGCAAAUAAGCAAAUAUCCAGUAAGCACCUCCAAGCGUGUUCCGCUGGCUACAAAACUAAUCUGAUACUUCUAAUGUAUAAAACUGGAUAUGAGGAAAAGAUUUAUGCAAAACUAGGCAGUCAAACUGUAUUAGUAUAAUUGAACUAUAAAUAAGAUAGCACGAUCUUAAGGUCCUUUCCAACCCUAACCGUUCUAUGAUUCUGUGAUUUUAUAUACCACAAUUCCCAACUGUAAUGCAACAUUUGCAGUGUCUAUAAAAACUAUUUCAAAAAGCACAAAAGAACAUGAAUAUCCAAAAAUUCUUUAAAUCCUCAAACGACUGCUUUCUUUAGUUACGCAAUUCUUCAUUAUCAUGGAGAUCCCGUGACCAAAGGUCUAAGCAAAGCCUGCGAAUUCACCCCAUCUGUAAUGACACCGCUUUUCCCCACGUUAUUACUGAUUAACACAGAGCUGUGCGUUAACUCGUAGCCAACAAAAGGUGUUCAAAGGGCCUACCUGGCUCUCGGCAAGGACAAGUUCUUCACAGAAGUAACUGAGCCCGUGUUUCACAGGCCAGUGUACGACAAAGGCACGCAGGGAGCCGGAGGAAGCCUGGCAUUCUCUUGUCAGUUAUUUAAAAGCCAAGGCUCUGAGUCUGGAAGACGUUUUUGCUAAUCUUACUAAUUGCCUGAGUCAGCCGGGGAACAGCAGGCUGGUGCUUUCCAGAGCUCUGGAGAGAUGGAGGAAUACAGGAAGAUGCAGCUGGCAGGUGACUCGGACCGGGAAAUGACUCCUUCAUUACGGAAGAUCAUUCGCCACACACACCUUCAGGACGACGCACUACAGCCAGCUCAGGCUCAGCAAAACUGAUUUUAGUAUCUGUACAGUAUAUACAAAGCUUUUGACGUCGUAGCAUGGGCUGGGUUGGCUUUUGGCUGGACCUGGGGCUGCUGGAGCUGGCUGUAGCUGCCUAGUGACACGGGUGCAGUCCUCACUCAUCCUACAGAUGCUGGGGGGUUUCCUAAGCUUGUACUUGUGGAAAUAACAGCAAACCUAUGAAUUCCAGUGGAUAAAUCCUCCAAGUAUUACCCAUGGAGGAUAUGUAUGGGCAGGUUUACACCAUGCUGCUCGGGCCUAACAGUGCUCAGCGCUGCAUGUCCAUUAGCUAUCUGAUCAUAAGGUGACGGUUGUAAAAACAAGCUCCUGACCAGGCUGGGUUACAAAGCGCAUAAAAACUCAGUACCGGUGUGACAGCGGGGUCCGGGCGAUCCGGGACAGGCUGCACCCCCACCGCCUGCUCACCGCUGGGGCGCUCCUGAAGUGACACCGGGCAAACCGGGGGAAGCAGGGCGGCACCGCGCCGCUUUGCCCUGGUUAAUGCCCUCAGCCGGCGAGGAGAGACUGAGACCGAGCCCGCCGCGGGCCGCGCCGCUCCGACCCCCCCCCAGCCGCCAUGACAGGGGCCGAGGCGCAGGGCGAGCGCACCUCCCCUCAGCCGCCGCCCCGCCCCGCGGCCCCGCCCCUUCCCCGCCUGUUUAUCCACAGGCUGUGCACGUGGUGGCCGUGCCACGCCAUUGGCCUUCUCCCCAGGUACCUGCGGCCGCCCUGCCAAUCGAGGCGCUGUCCACGCGCGGCCGCCCGCAUCCGAUU
rnacentral:lncRNA from 1 species